UGAAAAGUUGGGGAGCAGUGUUCAGAA
rnacentral:piRNA from 1 species